UCUACGGGAGGCAGCAGUGAGGAAUAUUGGUCAAUGGCCGGAAGGCUGAACCAGCCAAGCCGCGUGAAGGACGAAGGUGCCAAGCAUUGUAAACUUCUUUUGUCAAGGGACAAAAUCAGGCUCGAGAGCCUGACCGAGGGUACUUGAAGAAAAAGCAUCGGCUAACUCCGUGCCAGCAGCCGCGGUAAUACGGAGGAUGCGAGCGUUAUCCGGAUUUACUGGGUGUAAAGGGCGUGCAGCCGGGAAGACAAGUCAGAUGUGAAAUCCCGCGGCUCAACCGCGGAACUGCAUUUGAAACUGUUGUUCUUGAGUACCGGAGAGGUCAUCGGAAUUCCUUGUGUAGCGGUGAAAUGCGUAGAUAUAAGGAAGAACACCAGUGGCGAAGGCGGAUGACUGGACGGCAACUGACGGUGAGGCGCGAAAGCGUGGGGAGCAAACAGGAUUAGAUACCCUUGUAGUC
rnacentral:rRNA from 1 species